AGCAGUAUUUAUUAAAAUACAUUUCUUUUUCAAACUUGAGCUAUCAGCUGUUAAAGUGUAUACACAUUUUUGGGAGACACCCUAUAGUAUUAUGAGUUAUGUUUU